UACGGAGGUGGCGAGCGUUGUUCGGAAUCACUGGGCGUAAAGGGCGCGCAGGCGGUCGUACAAGUCGCGUGUGAAAGCCCCCGGCUCAACUGGGGAGGGUCACGCGAUACUGUUCGACUCGAAGGCAGGAGAGGGAAGUGGAAUUCCCGGUGUAGUGGUGAAAUGCGUAGAUAUCGGGAGGAACACCAGUGGCGAAGGCGACUUCCUGGCCUGUUCUUGACGCUGAGGCGCGAAAGCUAGGGUAGCAAACGGG
rnacentral:rRNA from 1 species